rnacentral:rRNA from 1 species
GACGAACGCUGGCGGCGCGCUUAAAACAUGCAAGUCGAACGAGAAGCCCGGAGCUUGCUCCGGGUGGAAAGUGGCGAACGGGUGAGGAGCACGUGAGGAACCUGCCCCGAAGACCGGGACAACACCGGGAAACCGGUGCUAAUACCGGAUGCCCUCACCGGAUCGCAUGAUCCGGUGAGGAAAUGGAUUCCGCUUCGGGAUGGCCUCGCGGACUAUCAGCUUGUUGGUGGGGUAAUGGCUCACCAAGGCUACGACGGUUAGCUGGUCUGAGAGGAUGUCCAGCCACACUGGGACUGAGACACGGCCCAGACUCCUACGGGAGGCAGCAGUUAGGAAUCUUGCGCAAUGAGCGAAAGCUUGACGCAGCGACGCCGCGUGCGGGAUGAAGGCCCUCGGGUUGUAAACCGCUUUCAGCA